rnacentral:ribozyme from 1 species
UGCCCAGCAACUCCUAUCCCUACCUCCUCGUGAUACCGGCCGGAAACUAUGAGCAACCUCAGGGAUGAUCGGGUAAGCAACCCUGGUGGAACAUUGGUGCCAGGGAAGG